CAGUAGCCACGGGAAUACGAAGGGGGCUAGCGUUGCUCGGAAUUACUGGGCGUAAAGGGAGCGUAGGCGGACAUUUAAGUCAGGGGUGAAAUCCCAGAGCUCAACUCUGGAACUGCCCUUGAUACUGGGUGUCUUGAGUGUGAUAGAGGUAUGUGGAACUCCGAGUGUAGAGGUGAAAUUCGUAGAUAUUCGGAAGAACACCAGUGGCGAAGGCGACAUACUGGAUCAUUACUGGCGCUGAGGCUCGAAAGCGUGGGGAGCAAACAGGAUUAGAUACCCCGGUAGUCCCUGUCUCUUAUAC
rnacentral:rRNA from 1 species